rnacentral:rRNA from 1 species
CGCUGUAAACGAUGGAUGCUAGAUGUCGGGGAGUACUCUUCGGUGUCGUAGUUAACGCGUUAAGCAUCCCGCCUGGGGAGUACGGUCGCAAGGCUGAAACUCAAAGAAAUUGAUCCUGGCUCAGGAGAACGCUGGCGGCGUGCCUAAUACAUGCAAGUCGUAACAAGGUAACCAGGUUUGACAUCCACGGAACCUCUCCGAAACGAGAGGGUGCCCUUCGGGGAGCCGUGAGACAGGUGCUGCAUGGCUGUCGUCAGCUCGUGUCGUGAGAUGUUGGGUUAAGUCCCGC